UACGAAGGGGGCUAGCGUUGCUCGGAAUCAGCGUGGGCGUAAAGGGUGCGUAGGCGGGUACUUUUAAGUCGAGGGGUGAAAUCCUGGACUCAACUCCAGAACUGCCUUUGAUACUGAGGAUCCUGAGUUCGGGAGAGGUGAGUGGAACUGCGAGUGUAGAGGUGAAAUUCGUAGAUAUUCGCAAGAACACCAGUGGCGAAAGGCGGCUCACUGGCCCGAUACUGACGCUGAGGCACGGAAAGCGUGGGGAAGCCAAACAGGG
rnacentral:rRNA from 1 species